GUAGGGGAACCGAUAUCAGGGCUGAUAUUAACUAAGAGCCAGUGACAAUGCUCCCAUUCAGAAUACCUAUAGCUCACUAAACUUCUUCAUUUCGUGAAGACAAUUUUGUCAUGUGACAUGGCUGCUAUAUGGAUUGGAUAGUUCAUCGAAUUGGAGUGUCAAAAUUUGAUCUUCUUUAGACGCAGAAAAGCCAUCCAAAGUUCCCAGAAAAUGUCACGAAAACACCCAAGGUGAAAGUCAAGCUGAGCAAAACCAAGAGCCUGAGCUGUGUCUGAAAAGAGGAAAGGAAGUAGAAGAGAGGAUGCCAGUAAGAUACCAGAUCAUUGUUCCAAGAAAACUGGCAGCAAUGCCUCCUGAUUCAUCAGCUUUUCUGAGUCAGAAGACAAAAGUGCCUUGAAUUACCCAGCAAAUCAUUGUACAGAGAUGCAAAGUCAAAUGUCAUAUUUCGCUAAGCCCAGCCGGCAGCAGCAGGAAUGCCAGACAACAACCUUGCCUGAAUGUUGGGCAGGUUGGAACUUUUCUUGACGUGGUCAUUUAAACGUGCAAUAGGUUUGUAGUCCUCACGUCUGUCACCUGGACAGGUCCUGGCUCCCUCCUUAAUGGGUCUGCUGCAAAGGCUACAGAGAAC
rnacentral:lncRNA from 1 species